AACGAACGCUGGCGGCAGGCUUAACACAUGCAAGUCGAACGCUGUAGCAAUACAGAGUGGCAGACGGGUGAGUAACGCGUGGGAACGUGCCUUUCGGUUCGGAAUAACUCAGGGAAACUUGAGCUAAUACCGGAUACGCCCUUAGGGGGAAAGAUUUAUUGCCGAAAGAUCGGCCCGCGUCCGAUUAGCUAGUUGGUGAGGUAAUGGCUCACCAAGGCGACGAUCGGUAGCUGGUCUGAGAGGAUGAUCAGCCACACUGGGACUGAGACACGGCCCAGACUCCUACGGGAGGCAGCAGUGGGGAAUAUUGGACAAUGGGCGCAAGCCUGAUCCAGCCAUGCCGCGUGAGUGAUGAAGGCCCUAGGGUUGUAAAGCUCUUUCGCCAGGGACGAUAAUGACGGUACCUGGAUAAGAAGCCCCGGCUAACUUCGUGCCAGCCGCCGCCGUAA
rnacentral:rRNA from 1 species